GGUAGCCUGGCUCUCUGCAGGAGAGUUCAAACUUCCCCGUUCGUCCACAUUAUCCUUUAAGAAGGGUGGGUGGGCAAAUCUUCUUGUGCAACAGCCCCGGACAGUCCACCCCCGACACCCACCAACCAACCCACAACCGCCCCUGCCAGCAGCGGCUGCACAACCACCCCUCCUUGCGCAUGAUCGUCUCCUCAAACACAUGCAACAGUGUCCUCCCCAAAAACCAGAAAGCCCCCCCUCCCUCAGGGAGAGAUCCCGGGUGGGUGCGCACGCCAGCCAAAGCACCGUGUCAGGGGGAGCCAAGCCGGCAGGAGGCAGACGGAGGAAGCCCCUCCUCCCCGUGUGGCUUGAAGACGGGGAGUGAGCGGGAUAUUCCCAAACAGCUGGAAAAGAAGGAGCUGCCCGGCCCUCCCCAAAAAGAGUGUCAACCUUUCUCCUCUCCAGUUGUGCGUCUUUUGAGAGGGGGGGGGGGGGGGGCUAUUCCAAAUCAAUCAGCAAGAGAAGGAAAUGUCUAAGCGUUCUGUUGCUGCGCAGCUCUCGGCAAGGUGUUCCUUCCACCGCGUUGUGACUGUCAAGGCGCCAGGAAAGGUUUCAUCCCUGUCGGGUUCAUCUCGCCCUCGUUCCCUCCCCUGUACCAAAUUGUAGCGGAUGCAGGGCGACCUCUUGUGGCCAAGCGUCAUCAUUGCUCAGCUGUCAAAAAAGCUGGACGUUUUGAGUGGUCACGUGUAGUUUGCUGUCACUCAGCCUAAAGUUAGCAACAAAAAUGCUUUUUGAUUGUUUUGGUUUUUAACGAUUCUAAUGUUUAACUGUUAGCAUCUUUAUUCUCGCUGCUAUGCUGUCAUUCAGGACGGGCCAAAAAAUAGGUCCAGCGGUGCCAUUAUUUUAGUUUAGUUUAUUAGAUGCUCUUGGAUUGAAAUAGUGACCGGAAGUGACGUGCACGCUCCUAAACGGGCUUGAUGCGAAGCCACAAGCGUUAACGACAGAAACAAACAAUCGGGUGGUAUUUAGUAAAUGAAAUGACAUUAUUCGCAAGUUCUGAAACCAAUUGGACGCAUGUUCUUCAACGUAUCGACCACCGCGUUAAGAUUUGUUCUGUGUUGUGGCUGUGCAGGGUGCCCGGCUGCAAGCAGCCCCCUCAAUGGUCUCUCCCACCAUCAAGGCAUUGGUGGAUGCGGUGUGGGCGGUGUGGAGCAUCGGGGCCUCCAUCUAUGACUACAUCCAUACCAGUGCCAUGGAGGAGCGCAUACACGCCCUGGAGAAGGUCAUCAGCGUCCACCAGUUUGCCAUUGGGCUACUGUUGGCGGCCAUGUUGGUGCUCUUCACUUACAUCUUCGUCAAGAAGGUUUGAGAGUCAAGCAGAUUGAAGGGAUUCCAAUUGUGUAGAAAGGUGAAAUUGUAAUAAUCUCACGUUUGGGAGCAAAUAAGAUGCUGAGUAGAUUGAUUCUUGAUUGGAUAUUGCUUUGAUUUCUUAUUACUGCUACAGAUACAUAACUUUCUAAUUCUAUCAUUUCAAAAGGGAUCAGUAUUGAAAUACAUUGUUGCCAUUUUGUCUGCCUUGUUAGUUUUUCUGCUAACUUUGUAUAAUAUUUUUUCUGAGAUUUUUUUUAACUUUACCUUUGAAUGAGUCGGAUGGAUUUAGAAACCAGAAUGAUUCCGCCCACCUGAUGACAUUCAUUUCUGGAUUGAAUCAAUUAAAAUAGGAUUUACCAAAAUGUGUAAGUACGACUUGGACUGACAUUGGAAUUCAAAGAUGCUAUUCCAAAACAAAUGUAAUAUUUUUAUUUGAAGUGUGUCUAAACAGGAAAUUACACAGACAUAAAUUUGCCACAUAACUUUAAUACAAGGCGUAAUUGCAACUGGAAACAUCUCCCUCUAAAUCUCUGGAAAACAUUUGGAAUCUGGUCAGCAAAUUUGGUAAAACAUGGUGAAACCAAGCCAUCUGUCCAAUGACGACUGUGGAAAACCAACCUAAAUCUUCAUAAGCCCCCUCAGGCUGAGCAACUCCUGAUUUAAAGAACACGCAACCUCUGCUUUUUCAAAUUGUACUCAGAGGUGCCCAGUCUGCAGGAGCGUAUAUUUGGAGAUGAACCUCUCCACACUUUCGCCUUCCAGAAACUUCAUGGCUCUCCAGUGGAUCUUGCUGCAGUUCUCUGGCUGGCCAAGGGGACCCAUCUCCUCCUGGAUGUACUCCAGCCACAGAUCUUGACAAACAGGUCAGGUUGAAGUUUAUUGUCAAACUAAACUCAAAUUUACUGUCAAACUAAACUCAAAUUAAACAUAAAAGAGGAGAAUUAUAUUUUGUGAUUUUAAUCAGAGCCAACUAAGUCUUAUGAAUGUUUAGAUAAUGUAAAAUUUCAUACAGGCCAACAAAACUAGCAUCACUGUUGUGGUUCUAAACUGUAAACUUGUACUUGACCACAGCAGACGCAUAAAUAUACUCACAGGCAUAUUUUUGUUAUCCU